AGGGGAGGAGGAGAUAAAGGGGAGGAGGAGAGAGAGGGAGGAGGAGAGAGAGGGGAGGAGGAGAGAGAGGGGAGGAGGAGAUAGAGGGGAGGAGGAGAUAGAGGGAGGAGGAGGAGAAACACCUUGUGACUCCACACUGAGAAGGAGUUCAAUAGAAAUAAAACUGAUAUAUAUCUGCUUUACAGCUCUCUCUCUCCCCCCAUCUUUCUGCCUCUAUUUCCCCUCUCUCUGUUUCCCUUUCUCUCUCUCCCUCUCUCUUUCAUAUCAAUUUCCUGGCAGAGUUUCUUUUAGUCUUACAUGUUCCUCUUUCUCAUAUUUAGCAAGUGUGAACUUCCCACUGCCGCUGCACAACAGCUGAAGAGAGCAGGAGCUGUGUGUGCAUGUGUGUGUGUUCAGCUGUGUACACCUGUGUACACGUGUGUGUGUCGGAGGGGAGGAGCUGUGUGUGCAUGUGUGUGUGUUCAGCUGUGUACACGUGUGUGUGUCGGAGGGGAGGAGCUGUGUGUGCAUGUGUGUGUGUCGGAGGGGAAAGGGCUGUGCUCGAAAAGACAACAGUGUGUGCUUCUGCGGAAAGGGGAACAUGGAGACCUCGCUCUCGUCGCUCCUGUCUAGAUGUCAUUAGAGUGUGUUUCCACUUACAGAGAUGUGAUAUCUGCCUCGCUGAUGUGCCUUAUUGAGCUGUAAAUGUAUCAGUACAGCUAAAUACAUGCUGACUCGCUGUGUUAUGUGUCAAUCUCAUCAGCAUCAUGUUUUGUCUCAUUAAACUGACUGUCCAGAACA